CAGAGCAGCCCUGGAGUUGGAGCCACUGAAAGCCCCUCGAGUAUGAGGAGCCCACUCAGGCCCUGCUUCUCAGGGAGCUUAGCAAGACCCUCCAGCAGUCAUCCUGAGGGCCACCCCUCCCCAACCUGCUGCUUGGGAUGUUUCCUGGCUUCAGUAUCCUGGCCCUGCACCAGCAACCAGCUCACAUGAUCACUGGCCUCUGCCAGCCACAAGGAGUUGGCAGAGGACAAAAAAAGACCCUGUCCCUGCCCCCACGGAGCCAGCAAUUUAGAGUCAGAGUUGGAGGGCACUCAAUAGAAGGACUUCCUGCAGACGGGGCAAGCAGGCAGCCGGGGCAAGAGGGGUGGAGUCAGGGGUGGCUUGAACCAGUUCACAGAGGGGGGAUAGUCAGUGUGGGGACAGCCACACUAUCCCAAAGCAGGGGUCACAGAAAGCUGCCUCCUGGUGGGACCGGAUUUGAUUUGCAUCUCGGAAAGGAGGCCCCGUGCUCCGUGGGCCUGGAGGAAGGAGGAGGCAGGAAGGUCCAGAGGAGGACAUGCCCAGCAGACACAUGGCCGGCAGUGACGGAGGCCUGGGGGCUGCGAUGGCAGGUCUGCAGCAGGGGCCCCAGGGAAAUCUUGGCAGAAGUGGGACCCGGUGCCUCUACCUCACACCAGCACAAGACCACCCUGGCAGCACCACGCUCCCCUCCAGGUCUCGGGGGAAUGCUGAAACCCUUGGGCGUAUGUCCCCAACGUUAGAUCCGUCACCUGGCGCUAACGAGCACAGGAGAUUUUGGACUGUAACCCGUGUGGCAUAUGUUCCUGUCCGUGUCAGGAGGACAUGAGACUCCGAACACAGGAAGCUGUUCAGCCUGGGCUGCUUGCGUCAGGGAGAAGACGUGGCACUGCUUUGGUUUAUACCUAGAUGUCCCCCAAAACCUCAUGUGCUAACAGAUGGGACUUUAGGGAGGUAAUCGGAUCAUGGGGUGUGACACUUGUCCAUUUAUAGCCAAAUGUGCUCUUGGGAGGUGGAGCUUGGCUGGAGAAGGGCCGUGGAGUCUUGGCCUGGCAGGGUCUAUUUCCCUCCCAACUCCUCCCUUCAUGCUGUCUGCUUCCUGUCUGUCAUGCCAGGGGCAGUUCCACUGCACCACACCCCUCUGCCAUGCUAUCCUGCCUUGGAGCCAGCGACUAUGGACUGAAACAUGAGCUAAAAUAAACCCCACUUCCCCUAAGCUGUGGGUGUCGGGUAUUUUGUCUCAGGGAUGAGGAAAGUGACUAAGACAGACACGGAGCCAGAGGCUGUUCGGCCUGGCCUGAUAGUGUCAGGAGGAAGAUGGGACACUGGCUGCUCCUGUUGUUCCCUAGGAUAGGCAGAUGCCUAAGCCAGCCCAACAGUGGGGCUCAGCGAAAGAGCUGGAAGCUGGCCCCACCCACAUGUGGCUCCCAGGGCAUCUCCCACCCAUCUCUACACCAGACGAUGCGCAUCUGGCUGUCAUCACUUCAGAACA
rnacentral:lncRNA from 1 species